CUCUUCUAGCUCUAAUCGUGAAUAAAUGUGAAGUUCUCUCUUUUGUUUAAUUUCCAUACCCCUUCUUUGUUAACCUUUCACCCUUAGCCCCGUUACAAGCCAAUAAAAGUCCUACUUGAUCUUAGCAUGCAAUCUUAGAGUUGAACUAGUGGGAUACCGGAAGAGCGUCGUGUAGUGAA